GCUGAAAUAGCUCAGUUUGGAGAGCGUUAGAUUGAAGAUCUAAAGGUCACUGGGUUCAUCCUGGGUUUAGGCA
rnacentral:tRNA from 1 species